GACGAACGCUGGCGGCGUGGAUUAGGCAUGCAAGUCGAACGGUAUCAUCCUUUCGGGGGUGAGAGAGUGGCGAACUGGUGAGUAACACGUAGGUUAUCUACCCUCAAGACGGGGACAACCCAGGGAAACUUGGGCUAAUACCGGAUGUGAGCAACUUUUAGUUGUUUGAAAGGUGGCGUAAGCUGUCGCUUGGGGAUGAGCCUGCGUCCUAUUAGUUAGUUGGUGAGGUAACGGCUCACCUAGGCAAUGAUAGGUAGGCGGCCUUAACGGGUGGUCGCCCACACUGGGAUUGAGAUACGGCCCAGACUCCUACGGGAGGCAGCAGUCGAGAAUAGUCUACAAUGGUCGGAAGACUGAUAGUGCGACGCCGCGUGAACGAUGAAUCCCUUCGGGGUGUAAAGUUCUUUUAUAUGUGAGCAGUGCUUCUUAUAUUAACAGUAGUGGGGAGAGAGAUAUUAGCAUAUGAAUAAGCAACGGCUAACUCCGUGCCAGCAGCCGCGGUAA
rnacentral:rRNA from 1 species